UACGGGGGGAGCAAGCGUUGUUCGGAUUUACUGGGCGUAAAGGGCGCGUAGGCGGUCGUGACAAGUCACUUGUGAAAUCUCCGGGCUUAACUCGGAACGGACAAGUGAUACUGUCGGACUAGAGUACAGAAGGGGCAACUGGAAUUCUCGGUGUAGCGGUGAAAUGCGUAGAUAUCGAGAGGAACACCUGCGGCGAAGGCGGGUUGCUGGGCUGAUACUGACGCUGAGGCGCGAAAGCCAGGGGAGCGAACGGG
rnacentral:rRNA from 1 species